rnacentral:rRNA from 1 species
GUUCCUCGGUACUGAAGUUAACACAUUAAGUACUCCGCCUGAGUAGUACGUACGCAAGUAUGAAACUUAAAGGAAUUGACGGGAUCCCGCACAAGCGGUGGAUCAUGUUGUUUAAUUCGAAGAUACACGAAAAACCUUACCAGGUCUUGACAUUAUCCUGCGAAGCUAUAGAAAUAUAGGGGAGGUUAUCAGGAUAACAGGUGGUGCAUGGUUGUCGUCAGCUCGUGUCGUGAGAUGUUAGGUUAAGUCCUAAAACGAGCGCAACCCUUGUCGUUAGUUACCAGCACGUUAUGGUGGGGACUUUAGCGAGACUGCCAAUGAAAAAAUUGGAGGAAGGUGAGGAUUACGUCAAAUCAUCAUGCCCCUUAUGAUCUGGGCUACAAACGUGAUACAAUGGCUAUUACAAAGAGCAGCUGAAACGUGAGUUGUUAGCUAAUCUCAAAAAAAUAGUCUCAGUUCGGAUUGAAGUCUGCAACUCGACUUCAUGAAGUUGGAAUCGCUAGUAAUCGCGAAUCAGCAUGUCGCGGUGAAUACGUUCUCGGGGUUUGUACACACCGCCCGUCAAACCAUGAAAGUUGACAAUACCCAAAACCAGUCGCUUAACUACUUCGGUAGAGGGAGCUGUCUAAGGUAGGGUCGAUGAUUGGGGUUAAGUCGUAACAAGGUAUCCCUACCGGAAGGUGGGGAUGGAUCACCUCCUUUCUAAGGAAAUGUCGUAUCAUGAUCAUCUUCAGUUUUGAAAGACUUAGAGUAGAUAAGUUUUUCUUUUGGCGUAGAGGAAGGGCCUAUAGCUCAGUUGGUAGAGCACACGCUUGAUAAGCGUGCGGUCAAUGGUUCAAGUCCAUUUAGGCCCACCAUA